ACCGGAUACCCCGGGGUGCCGCAUGGCACCCCGGCUAAAGCCCCGACGGGAGGGGAUGGCUCCGCGGCCCAUCAGGUAGACGGCGGGGUGACGGCCCACCGUGCCGACAACGGGUAGCCGGGUUGAGAGACCGACCGGCCAGAUUGGGACUGAGACACGGCCCAGACUCCUACGGGAGGCAGCAGUGGGGAAUCUUGCGCAAUGGGGGGAACCCUGACGCAGCGGCGCCGCGUGCGGGACGGAGGCCUUCGGGUCGUAAACCGCUUUCAGCAGGGAAGAGUCAAGACUGUACCUGCAGAAGAAGCCCCGGCUAACUACGUGCCAGCAGCCGCGGUAAUACGUAGGGGGCGAGCGUUAUCCGGAUUCAUUGGGCGUAAAGCGCGCGUAGGCGGCCCGGCAGGCCGGGGGUCGAAGCGGGGGGCUCAACCCCCCGAAGCCCCCGGAACCUCCGCGGCUUGGGUCCGGUAGGGGAGG
rnacentral:rRNA from 1 species